AGCACUGUUUCGGCAAGGGGGUCAUCCCGACUUACCAACCCGAUGCAAACUGCGAAUACCGGAGAAUGUUAUCACGGGAGACACACGGCGGGUGCUAACGUCCGUCGUGAAGAGGGAAACAACCCAGACCGCCAGCUAAGGUCCCAAAGUCAUGGUUAAGUGGGAAACGAUGUGGGAAGGCCCAGACAGCCAGGAUGUUGGCUUAGAAGCAGCCAUCAUUUAAAGAAAGCGUAAUAGCUCACUGGUCGAGUCGGCCUGCGCGGAAGAUGUAACGGGGCUAAACCAUGCACCGAAGCUGCGGCAGCGACACUAUGUGUUGUUGGGUAGGGGAGCGUUCUGUAAGCCUGUGAAGGUGUGCUGUGAGGCAUGCUGGAGGUAUCAGAAGUGCGAAUGCUGACAUAAGUAACGAUAAAGCGGGUGAAAAGCCCGCUCGCCGGAAGACCAAGGGUUCCUGUCCAACGUUAAUCGGGGCAGGGUGAGUCGACCCCUAAGGCGAGGCCGAAAGGCGUAGUCGAUGGGAAACAGGUUAAUAUUCCUGUACUUGGUGUUACUGCGAAGGGGGGACGGAGAAGGCUAUGUUGGCCGGGCGACGGUUGUCCCGGUUUAAGCGUGUAGGCUGGUUUUCCAGGCAAAUCCGGAAAAUCAAGGCUGAGGCGUGAUGACGAGGCACUACGGUGCUGAAGCAACAAAUGCCCUGCUUCCAGGAAAAGCCUCUAAGCAUCAGGUAACAUCAAAUCGUACCCCAAACCGACACAGGUGGUCAGGUAGAGAAUACCAAGGCGCUUGAGAGAACUCGGGUGAAGGAACUAGGCAAAAUGGUGCCGUAACUUCGGGAGAAGGCACGCUGAUAUGUAGGUGAAGUCCCUUGCGGAUGGAGCUGAAAUCAGUCGAAGAUACCAGCUGGCUGCAACUGUUUAUUAAAAACACAGCACUGUGCAAACACGAAAGUGGACGUAUACGGUGUGACGCCUGCCCGGUGCCGGAAGGUUAAUUGAUGGGGUCAGCGCAAGCGAAGCUCUUGAUCGAAGCCCCGGUAAACGGCGGCCGUAACUAUAACGGUCCUAAGGUAGCGAAAUUCCUUGUCGGGUAAGUUCCGACCUGCACGAAUGGCGUAAUGAUGGCCAGGCUGUCUCCACCCGAGACUCAGUGAAAUUGAACUCGCUGUGAAGAUGCAGUGUACCCGCGGCAAGACGGAAAGACCCCGUGAACCUUUACUAUAGCUUGACACUGAACAUUGAGCCUUGAUGUGUAGGAUAGGUGGGAGGCUUUGAAGUGUGGACGCCAGUCUGCAUGGAGCCGACCUUGAAAUACCACCCUUUAAUGUUUGAUGUUCUAACGUUGACCCGUAAUCCGGGUUGCGGACAGUGUCUGGUGGGUAGUUUGACUGGGGCGGUCUCCUCCUAAAGAGUAACGGAGGAGCACGAAGGUUGGCUAAUCCUGGUCGGACAUCAGGAGGUUAGUGCAAUGGCAUAAGCCAGCUUGACUGCGAGCGUGACGGCGCGAGCAGGUGCGAAAGCAGGUCAUAGUGAUCCGGUGGUUCUGAAUGGAAGGGCCAUCGCUCAACGGAUAAAAGGUACUCCGGGGAUAACAGGCUGAUACCGCCCAAGAGUUCAUAUCGACGGCGGUGUUUGGCACCUCGAUGUCGGCUCAUCACAUCCUGGGGCUGAAGUAGGUCCCAAGGGUAUGGCUGUUCGCCAUUUAAAGUGGUACGCGAGCUGGGUUUAGAACGUCGUGAGACAGUUCGGUCCCUAUCUGCCGUGGGCGCUGGAGAACUGAGGGGGGCUGCUCCUAGUACGAGAGGACCGGAGUGGACGCAUCACUGGUGUUCGGGUUGUCAUGCCAAUGGCACUGCCCGGUAGCUAAAUGCGGAAGAGAUAAGUGCUGAAAGCAUCUAAGCACGAAACUUGCC
rnacentral:rRNA from 1 species